rnacentral:rRNA from 1 species
CGAACGCUGGCGGCGUGCCUAAUACAUGCAAGUCGAGCGGGUACGCUUCGGAGUCCAGCGGCGACGGGUGAGUAACACGUGGGCAAUCUGCCUUUCAGACCGGAAUAACGCCUGGAAACGGGUGCUAAUGCUGGAUAGCGCAAUAGGUAGGCAUCUACCUGUUGGGAAAGGUGCUACGGCACUACUGAGAGAGGAGCCCGCGGCGCAUUAGCUAGUUGGUGGGGGUAAUGGCUCACCAAGGCGACGAUGCGUAGCCGACCUGAGAGGGUGACCGGCCACACUGGGACUGAGACACGGCCCAGACUCCUACGGGAGGCAGCAGUAGGGAAUCUUCGGCAAUGGGCGAAAGCCUGACCGAGCAACGCCGCGUGAGCGAAGAAGGCCUUCGGGUUGUAAAGCUCAGUCAUCCGGGAAGAGCGGACAGGAAAGGGAAUGCUCCUGUCGAGACGGUACCGGGAGAGGAAGCCCCGGCUAACUACGUG